rnacentral:RNase_P_RNA from 1 species
GGAGUGGAACGGGUGGUCGCUGGCCGGCUGGUUGCGGCUGGAGGAAAGUCCGGGCUCCACAGGGCAGGACGCCGGGUAACCCCCGGCGGGGGUGACCCCAGGGAAAGUGCCACAGAGAGCAGACCGCCGGUCGGGAUCCAUGGAUCCACCGGCAAGGGUGAAAGGGUGCGGUAAGAGCGCACCGCGUUUCCCGGUAACGGGAACGGCAUGGUAAACCCCGUCCGGAGCAAGACCAAAUAGGGGGACAUGAUGGAUGGCCCGUCCAGUCCCCGGGUAGGUUGCUUGAGGUGACCGGAGACGGUCAUCCCAGAGGAAUGGCCACCACCCAUUCACCCUGGAACGGUGAACGGGAACAGAACCCGGCUUACAGUUCCACUCCGGUU